rnacentral:rRNA from 1 species
CACAAGCGGUGGAGCAUGUGGUUUAAUUCGAAGCAACGCGAAGAACCUUACCAGGCCUUGACAUGCAGAGAACUUUCCAGAGAUGGAUUGGUGCCUUCGGGAACUCUGACACAGGUGCUGCAUGGCUGUCGUCAGCUCGUGUCGUGGGAUGUUGGGUUAAGUCCCGUAACGAGCGCAACCCCUUUCCUUAGUUGCCAUCAGGUAAUGCUGGGGACUCUAAGGAUACUGCCCCGGUUAACGGGGAGGAAGGUGGGGAUGACGUCAAGUCAGUAUGUCCCUUACGUCCAGGGCUACACACGUGUUACAAUGGCCGGUACAAUGAGUUGCGACCCUGCAAAGGUAAGCCAAUCUCAAAAAACCGGUCUCAGUUCGGAUUGCAGUCUGCAACUCGACUGCAUGAAGUUGGAAUCGCUAGUAAUCGUAGAUCAGCACGCUACGGUGAAUACGUUCCCGGGCCUU